rnacentral:rRNA from 1 species
GGGGGACCCCUCAUGCCAACGUUCCAAUUUUGAGUUUACUUAACUGCCCCCGGGCGUGUUCGCCACCUCGUACACCAAAUGAACCUACGUUGCGCUUCUUGGAAUGGAUGUGAACUGUAUGUCUCUUGAAUGGUCUCUACCAAACCACGGAAGCCCUUGAGACUAUGUCCACGACGUACCGACAGCAGUCGAGCACAACACUCUACAACCCAAUUCAGGGCGUUGCUCGCGUUGGGGAUAGGAAUCAACGAUCGUCCAUUACAACUCUUGAGAUUCCUCUGACGGCCACUAUUUGGCCUCCUUCCACCCCUGCUGCAGUUCAGUAGUACCGGGAAUGCACAUCCCGAUGUGUGCACGAUGUUACCGCGUAUGUCUCACGACGCUUGAGCGCUCUCAUUCGCUUAGUGAAUUUCACGCAACAUCAGGCCUAACCUCAGACGUUGACCUGAGGUACUUCAGCCUUAGCAAUCAUUAGCGCAUAGUCUUACUGCGCCACUUAUGCAAGGGCCGGGAACAUG